ACGACAUUCUCUGAAGAUUUGAACAUGCUGUUUUUUUUAUUUACCUUUCAAACAAAUCAAAUGUAAUACAGAAGGUGAAAUAGAGACACAAAGAGAAGAUGCUUAAAAAAGAGUUAAAGUUAAACAACAUUAAUAAAUAAAAGGUAACGUGUUCCAGCAGCAGGCGUUCAGUCUGUAGGGACUGGAGGGUCGCAGGUUCAGGUCUGGAAACUGGUCUGGUGCCUGGGCGCUACAGAGGUAAGUCAUCAAACCCCCCCCCCCCCCCCUCACUCUGACAUCUCUCCAUCAGUGUCCACCUGGAUGAAGCAGGUCACAUGACUACACAGAGACCAUAGAGGGAUAUAACCACCUUUAUAAAAACAGGAAGUGAACUCCUAGCUCACCUGGGUAGCCGUGUGACUCACCUGUGUGUGCGGGAGUUCCUCCUCCAGGAAUCAUAAAAUCUUCUCUUCCUUUAAAUGUCGUCCUGCUCGUCCUCUGUGGAUCAGCUGAGAGAGAAAAUGACCUCGUGGUUUCGUCCCUCUGACCUUCACUCAUCAGUCCGGCUGUAGAAAUAUAAAUAUGUGGACGAUCAUCAUUUAAAUAUUCACGAGUCAGCUGUCCUCGACCCCGGACUUUAUGACAGAAGAGAAACUGCUGUGGCGUGGAGAGUGAGUCUCGAGUGUGAUGACAGGACACGACCAGAAGGGGGCAGCAGACGCUCAGUUUAAACUGAUUAUAAAUCCACAGAAACAGAAAUCUACACAGACGAGGAGAUUAUACAGAACAAUGAAAUCAUGAGGAACUUUAUUUGAUUCUCUACUUUAAUAAAAGAUUGAUCUCAAA